GAUCCCUGAAAGAUGAUCAGGUUGAUAGGUCAGAGGUGGAAGCGUGGCGACAUGUGUAGCUGACUGAUACUAAUCGAUCGAGGACUUAACCAA
rnacentral:rRNA from 1 species